CCCUUAGACGUUCUGGGCCGCACGCGCGCUACACUGACCAGUGCAACAAGCAUCCGUCCUUGGCCGACAGGCCCGGGCAAUCUUUGAACGCUGGUCGUGAUGGGGAUAGACUUUUGCGAUUUUUGGUCUUCAACGAGGAAUUCCUAGUAAACGCAAGUCAUCAACUUGCAUUGAUUACGUCCCUGCCCUUUGUACACACCGCCCGUCGCACCUACCGAUUGAAUGGUCCGGUGAAGCCUCCGGAUUGGCGCGCACCUCGGUGCCGCCGAGAAGUUGGCUAAACCUUACCAUUUAGAGGAAGGUGAANUCGUAACA
rnacentral:rRNA from 1 species